rnacentral:rRNA from 1 species
UAAAAAUGUAAAAUUAAACUAGAUUAGUAAUAGUUAUGUUCUUGAAAAUUAAAAAUUUUGGCGGUUUUUUAGUCUAUUCAGAGGAACCUGUUCUGUAAAUGAUAGUCCACGAUUUUAAUUUCCUUUAUUAAUAGUUUGUAUAUCGUCGUAGUUUGAAUAUUUUAAAAGAAUUUAAAUAUUCAAAAUUUAUUUAAAUAAAAAAUAUCAGAUCAAGGUAUAGUUUAUAUAAAGGUAGAAAUGGGUUACAUUAAUUUUAAUUAUGGAUUAUUAAUUUUAAAUUAAUAUAAAAAAGGAUUUGAUAGUAAUUUUUAAUAAAUUUUAAUAAUGAUUAUUAGCUCUAAAAA